UCCUUAUUAAUGCGGCCAAUACAUCAACCCUGAAAAACGUUACGGGGCACAAAAGGCCCCCUUCGAAAAUAAAUAAUAAACUAGAAAUUAUAUGCAAAUUCACGACCCAUAAGUUCCUAUAGAAAUUGUUAACCCUUUAUCGGGCAAGGGGUAAAAAAUGGUCAUAAUUUAUUCACAUUGUGAGAUAGAUUCACGGGACAUUUUUAGUGCCAUUCAAAUAUGUUCGACAACGGUGCUCAGACGUGUUUUAGUGCUUAAUACGAGAUUAAAUUAGUUUUUAUCGGUCAAGUGUAGUGUUAAAAUAUCUAGUCAAAAGGAGAGUGCCAUCGUGUUUGUCAACAAUGUCACUUCUGCAAUCACUAAGUCGUCCUAAAUAAUUAUCCUAUACGUAUGCUUAAUUACUCAAUCUUCUAUCAAACUAAAAAAAAUAAUUGACUAUGCAAUUUCGAAAAGGGCACAAGUCUGAAAAUUUCAAAUGUCCAGGAAUAAAAAAAACGAUUUAGCCUACUUAUGUAUCUAAUUAGUGAUUUGACUUUACUAUAUACUUAUAAUAUAUUUUUAUUAUACUAAGAUAAUGUCCUAUAACUUAAUCUUAGUCUUUCACUAAUUAUUACUUUUGUAAUGUAUAAUUUGUAAAAGUAACUAUUGUGUUAUAUUUUGGUGUUAAUUAGCCUUUGAAAAUUACUAAAAUUAUUCUUUUUAAAAUUAAUGUAAACAUUUUAUUAGAUACGUUAUAUUUGUCAGAUGUAAGUAUGUACAGAUAAGCCGUGAUAGCCCAGUGGAUAUGACCUCUGCCUCCGAUUCCGGAGGGUGUGGGUCCAAAUCCGGUCCGGGGCAUGCACUUUCAACUUUUCAGAUGUGUGCAUUUUAAUAAAGCCGUGAUAGCCCAGUGGAUAUGACCUCUGCCUCCGAUUCCGGAGGGUGUGGGUUCAAAUCCGGUCCGGGGCAUGCACCUCCAACUUUUCAGUUUGUGCAUUUUAAGAAAUUAAAUAUCACGUGUCUCAAACGGUCGAGGAAAAUCAUCGUGAGGAAACCUGCAUACCUGAGAAUAUUCUUAAUUCUCUGCGUGUGUGAAGUCUGCCAAUCUGCAUUGGGCCAGCGUGGUGGACUAUUGGCCCAACCCUUUUCAUUCUGAGAGGAGACUCGAGCUCAGCAGUGAGCCGAAUAUGGGUUGAUAAUGCACAGAAUAUCCGACAUUUGUGCCCUUUUCGAAAUUGCAUAUUCAAUUGUGUCUAUAUGUUUUGUUUUUAAAUAAUAACCUCCUAUUUUGAGUA